GUGAAAAGAAAAGCACCAAAAAGAGAAAAGAAAAUUACAAAAGGCAGACCAAGAAUGAAUCUCCGAGCAAUGUCUGGAAGAUGAUUUUAUUUGCACUGAUAUUCUAUCUAGGAGUGUUUCACUCUCUUUCGAACCUUCCUUUAUCGAAUCCCCUACUUUAUGGAAUU
rnacentral:ribozyme from 1 species